CAGACGAGGUGGAAUCUUAAAUAUUCCAGCAGCUUUUGGAAAUUUGCUGUCUGGUUUGUCUCGGUAGCUUCAUUCACCCUCUUGUGAGUUUGGUUAAACCACAGCUGCACCGAUCCUCUCAUGUAAUGGCAGGUUCCAGCUGUCUGAAGGAGAUCAAAGAUGGAAGAGAGAAGCCUGGCUGCCUCCAACCUGGAAAUUCAACGCAGUCCAUCGAUGUGGCUGCAGCAUCCGUGGGCCUUCGGGGUAUUUAAUAGCAAAUGUUGCACGUAGGACGUUGUCCACUUUCCAGGCUUUAUCUGUUGGUGUGACUGCAGCGAUUCCACAGCGGAUCCCACUGUCAAGGAACAGCAGUGCAUCCCUUUGGAACUUCCUCCGGGCACUCGGGAAUGUGCAGGCAACUAGGUGUGGAGGUUCUGCACAGUCAAGUUCUCCUCUGAGCAGCCCCUUUUCUCAAGGAAGCUCCAAGAAAGCAGGUGGGUGUGACAACAUUGCUUUGGAGCUUGGAGAAACCUAUUCUGAUGGAGGGUUCUCUGUCCGUGGCACCGGCGUGA